UACGUAGGAUCCAAGCGUUGUCCGGAUUUACUGGGUGUAAAGGGUGCGCAGGCGGACUUAUAAGUCAGUGGUGAAAUCUCACAGCUUAACUGUGAAACUGCCUUUGAUACUGUAGGUCUUGAAUUAGGGAGAGAUUCGUGGAAUUCCGAGUGUAGCAGUGAAAUGUGUAGAUAUUCGGAAGAACACCAGAGGCGAAGGCAGCGAAUUGGCCCUAUAUUGACGCUCAGGCACGAAAGCAAUGGGAUCAACAGG
rnacentral:rRNA from 1 species